rnacentral:lncRNA from 1 species
CCAUAUAACAAUUUAUUCAAAACUAAAUUCUCAAAUUUUAAAUAAUAAGUCAAUAAGUCACCCUAAAUCAAUAAGUCAAAUAUAAAAAGUUCAACACUUAUUUCUGAUACAUAAAAUAUAAGGCCCUAAAGCAAGAACAAUUUAUCCCCGAAAGAUUCCCUCUAAUUAGUGAUCUCAGCUUCUUCUUCAGCACGAGGCUACAAGUCGUCAAAGUACUCUUGCGAGCUAUUCUUCGAAGCUUACCACAAUACCCCAUCUUCCUAGGAGAAAAGGUCUCGGAAGAAGAUUCCUUUCUAGCUGUUAAAAGCUCUCUCUUUCAUUCUUCUUUAAUCUUUUCAAAAAUAAAUGGAAAAUCUAAAAACUUCUCAGACAUCACGCCUUAUGUAACCGCCCUAUGUAACUUUGGAGUCGUGUAUCUUAUACUAAAGUCGGCCUUGAUUUUCAUAGUAAUUUUAUCUUUUUUCAAUAAAACAUUUUUAAAAAAUCAUUUAAAGUAAACUUGCAAGAACAUCUUUGAAAACGAU